CAUUAAAUUGAAAGAAAAAAUAAAUAAUUUAUUGAUAAAUUAUAAAAAAAAUUAUCUGUAAUAAAACUUUCUUUGUAUGAAUCAUAUAAAAACAAGUUCAUGCAUUUUUGUCAGAUACAUAAGUUAUACAUUGAGUUUCCCAGGGAAUAGAUGAAAACUAUUUCAAUAUACAAAAAUUGGGUGUGAACAUCUUAGGUGUUAUAUAAUAUCUCUAGGUCUGCAGAUAGAUAAAGACAAUGUCAAUCCACAAAACAUCUGUAACUCUUGCAAGACUAUAAUCCUGCAAGCAAUUUAGUUAAAGCAGACUGCUGGAACUAUCUAGAAUUAACUAGUGGAGGAGUACAACAGGAGAUGGAAAUGUUUUCCAACACAAAUAUGAUGCUUGAACAGGAUUCAUUAAGCAAUCAAGUCAUGGAGCAAAUUUCAGGGUAUAUUUAAUGAUGAGGUGGACUACAUCACUCUUGUGUGCAAUGUCCAUACCGCGCCCGCACAUGCUACGAUCUGCUGGUACACGAGAGAACUCACAUUGGAGCUCGGCUGCUGCUCUGUGGACGAUGUCCAACCACCUAUAGCAACCCUUACAACCUCACCUCACACAACUGAACUCACCAAUGCAAAGCCUCUUUAUUGCACAAUUUAUGGAAAAGUUUUCUCUACAAGAAAGUUGAUUCGCUGACAUGAGCUCAAAUUUCAUAAUAGACCUAAAAUGGGUAUCACACCAAGAUUUAUGAAGCUGGACAUCAGGAAUUAACUAG